UGGCGGAGCCAUCCUUGGGAUACCACCCUUGUAGUACUGGGACUCUAACCAUAGGCCAUGAAUCUGGUCUUGGGACACUGUCAGGUGGGCAGUUUGACUGGGGCGGUCGCCUCCCAAAAGGUAACGGAGGCGCGCAAAGGUUCUCUCAGUACGGUCGGAAAUCGUACGUAGAGUGUAAAGGCAAAAGAGAGCUUGAUUGCAAGACAUACAGGUCGAGCAAGGAUGAAAAUCGGACUUAGUGAUCCGGUGGUUCUGCGUGGAAGGGCCAUCGCU
rnacentral:rRNA from 1 species